AUAAACGUGGAGUCCUAUAGACCUUUUCAUCGGGCGAGGAGGAAAGGGCGCGCGACGAACCUUUCCUCCUUUCUGGCUUGUGCGACCCGGCGCGGCGCGGCUUGAAUGUGUUGCCGGUCGCGCGCUGCGGAACG
rnacentral:lncRNA from 1 species